GACGUAGGGUGCGAGCGUUGUCCGGAAUUACUGGGCGUAAAGGGCGCGUAGGCGGCCUUCUAAGUCGAACGUGAAAUCCCCGGGCUCAACCCGGGAACUGCGUCCGAUACUGGAAGGCUUGAAUCCGGGAGAGGGAUGCGGAAUUCCAGGUGUAGCGGUGAAAUGCGUAGAUUUCUGGAGGAACACCGGUGGCGAAGGCGGCAUCCUGGACCGGCAUUGACGCUGAGGCGCGAAAGCCAGGGGAGCAAACAGG
rnacentral:rRNA from 1 species